rnacentral:rRNA from 1 species
AGUGAACGCUGGCGGUAGGCCUAACACAUGCAAGUCGAACGGCAGCACAGGAGAGCUUGCUCUCUGGGUGGCGAGUGGCGGACGGGUGAGGAAUACAUCGGAAUCUACUCUGUCGUGGGGGAUAACGUAGGGAAACUUACGCUAAUACCGCAUACGACCUAAGGGUGAAAGCAGGGAACCUUCGGGCCUUGCGCGAUUGAAUGAGCCGAUGUCGGAUUAGCUAGUUGGCGGGGUAAAGGCCCACCAAGGCGACGAUCCGUAGCUGGUCUGAGAGGAUGAUCAGCCACACUGGAACUGAGACACGGUCCAGACUCCUACGGGAGGCAGCAGUGGGGAAUAUUGGACAUUGGGCGCAAGCCUGAUCCAGCCAUACCGCGUGGGUGAAGAAGGCCUUCGGGUUGUAAAGCCCUUUUGUUGGGAAAGAAAUCCAGCUGGCUAAUACCCGGUUGGGAUGACGGUGCCCAAAGAAUGAGCACCGGCUAACUUCGUGCCAGCCGCCGCGGUAA